UUCACAUACGGGAAUUGUAUAGACAUGAGGAAAAUAUACAUCGAAAUAUUCAGCAGUAUUAAUACAACACAAUGAAGUGAUUUGGAUCGAGACAAAUGAUGAGCUGGCAAUGACGAAAAGAUUUGCUGGGACAACAUCAACUGGAUGUAGAGGCAGUGGAAAGUGUUCACCUCGGCUUGCAGUGAGAUUAGAUUCUUUGCACUGUCGAGCAGACAGGCAUCAUCGGCGAAGAGUUUGCUCAAGAAAUUUGAACAAUUUGAAAGAUCGUUUAUGAAGAUUAAAAAAUUCAAAGGUCCUAAUACGCUACCUUGUGGAAUUCCGUAAUGGAUGGGUAAUAACGAAGACCUGUGAGAAUCUAACUCCACAUAUUGAUAACGUCCGGACAGGUUCAAUAUGGUUUGAAGAAUCUCUGUAUGUGUCGUUGGCUCCAGGAAAAAGGUGUUUUGCAGCGGAACACCCAAAAAAUCGGUAGAAGGGUUAGAGCUACCAGGGAUGUUAUUCGCAAGUUUCUUUCCUACCGUUGAGAAGAAUUCAUUAAAUUCACUGGCCAUCAUGAUGGGGUCUGUCACUGUGGUACCAUUUUCGAGUUUCAAUUCUGAGAUGGAUGUAUCAUCUCUGGACUUAGUCUUAAUGAUCUCGUUAACAGUUUUCCAAGUUUGUUUGAUAUCUCCCCGGUUAUUCUCGAGGGCAUAGCGAUAAUGCAGUUGUUUCGAUUUUCUCUGCAAGUGCAUUGAGAUAUUUUUAUAUUUUUUGAAGUGGAGACGCUGAAGUGUAUUACCUUUCAAAAAAUUUUUUUUGAACAUAUGAUUUUUGUGAAUGAUGGACUUGCGAAUUCCCUUAGUGAUCCACGGUUUGGAGUAUAAUUUAUUUUCUCUUCGUGAUAGGGGUCUUAAUGGAGCGUGUUUGUUUAUUAACCAUUUCAUUUGACCCAGGAAAUCAUCAAAAGAGCUAUUGAAAUUUUUUCUAGUAAGAG